AUUUUCUUGAAAUAUCUUAAGAAGAAAAAAAUAAAAAUAAAAGAAAAAAAACGAAUUGAUUUUGGUUCUUCAUUGCUUCCAUUUCUUCAUCGUUGUUGUUUGUUUCUUCAAUUUUCUUUCGCCGGAAUUUUCUCGGAGUCCGAUCGUAACUGAAUCAAAUUCGAAGCCCUAAACCCUCGGAGGAAUUAGGUUUUUAUUGUUUUCGUUUUGAUUGAAUCUCGUUCUUGAGUUCAAAAUUGAAACAGAGGAACGAGCCCUAGGUUUUGGAGUUGAGGAUGGGUGAGGAGGUUAAGAUGGCGGAAUAUGAAAGCGGAGGUGGUGUUGGUGGUGAAGAUGAAAGCUGUGCUCAUGAGGAGAGAGUAUUUGAAUGGGAAACGGGUUUGCCUGACGCCGACGAUCUCACUCCUCUGUCUCAGACGUUGAUUCCACCGGAGCUUGCGUCUGCAUUCAGUAUAUCAACCGGACCAUGUCGGACACUUAUGGAUGUUAAUCGAGCGUCGCAGAAUACGCUAUCGAAUCUUCGUGGAUUUCAAGCACAAGCGUUUUCAUCGAAUAAUUUCAAGUCGUUUAACGAUGAUCGAACUCAGGAUCAUGAUGCGAUGGUGGUUGAAGGAGAUGAGGCAACGGAGAGGGAUGCAGGGUCGGAUUCUAGGAAAUUAAGGAAGGUUGAUUGUGCAGAAGAGGCUGAUUCGGCUCUUCGGACGGAUAAUUCUAUGGAUGAUCCAUCGGCUCGGACUUUGAAGAGACCGAGACUUGUAUGGACGCCACAAUUACAUAAGCGAUUUGUGGACGUUGUCGCUCAUCUUGGGAUUAAGAACGCGGUUCCUAAAACUAUUAUGCAGUUAAUGAACGUGGAGGGAUUGACUCGGGAGAAUGUUGCGAGUCAUCUUCAGAAAUAUAGGCUUUACUUGAAGAGGAUGCAGGGGUCUUCCAACGAGGGGCCAUCGUCGCCGGACCGGAUUUUUGCCUCCACGCCUGUACCGCCGACCUUGCACGAGUCAACCAACAGUGGGCAAGCAAAUGGAAAUGGGCAUUUGCCAGUUCCGACUCCGAUGCCGUAUGGACCACCUAUGAUGCCGAUGCCGGUGCUUGGCAUGGCAGCGUCUGGUCAUGCUCAUAGUUAUAUGGGUAUGCCUGUAGCUCAUCCGGGAAGCGCACAGGGAUACCCUGGCUUUGAAACGCAUCCUUUCAAUAUGAUGCAUCAGAGAGAUUGGUCGGGGAACAAAUACAGCUCGAUCGUGCCUUACCCUCAUCCUCAUGUACCUCCUAAUACUAAUGAUAAGUGAAUUACGGCUAACUUUCAGUCUGUGUGUUAGGAAUUGGUGGAUUUCUCGAACUUAGCAACAAGUUCUGUAUCAAACACGGGAAAUGGUGAACCCCAGAUAAAAUUUAGCUUUGGAAAGCAGUAUUAUUGAGUUUCUUGAAAUUUGAAAGCUUUCUUUUUUGUUUAAGUGUGUUUAGUAAGACAAGAAUACACGGCUUGUUUGUUAUUGGCUUUUGGGACUAUUUUAAGACAUCAGCUUUCUAAUUUUGUUUUUUAAACUAUUCCCAAUAACUGUAGUUAGAUGACUUGUAUGAAUUAAGAAUAAGUUUAAUUUGUAUUUGUGAUUUGGAUAAUUGCAUCGGGCAGUAGUUUUAGGGUUAGUAGUUAAGUGUAUGAUAACAGUUUUAAAGAUUGCUAAUAGACUCUUGUUAAUGAUAUACUCUACUUCUCUAAAUUUGUUAUAUUUGUAAAUUUUUUUAGUGUUAUAUAGUACUAAUACUUUGAGAUUAACAGUCACAUUUGUAAUUGUUCUUGGAAAGGAAUAACAUAAUUUAUUCUAAGAAAUGGACAUGUAGUGUGAAACUAAAUUAAAAGGGAAAAAAACCCUAAAAAUAGUUCACCAAAAAUAUGUAAACUGAAAUUUUGUUCUGAAUCUCUGAUAAAGCAAAAAAGUCCUUUUUAUCAUAAAUAGCUUUCAAACAACACCACGUUACUUUUUUCAGUUGAACCACUGAGUACUUAACUUUACUCUUCAGCUUAUCAUUCCUCACUACGCUACACUUCUCAGUUAGAUCACUUCUUGAAAGUGUAAUUAAAGUUGGUUAGAUAUGCUUGUUUUGAUCUUUAUUGUGUAGUCUCCACCAUAGAACGAUCAUGCAGGUGUGAUCUAAGAUGCAUGACACUGUAGUUACAGGAGGGAAGGGAUGGUCUAAUCUCAUCACAUUGAAAAACUUGCCCAUCACCUCUGGUGAAUUAUAGAAGUAUCAAAGGGCACACCAAAUGAUCCUUAUCAGUGGAAUGGAUAUGUGUGUUGUUGAUUCUCUCCUUCUUAGGAUGACGUUGAAAGAUGUCACUCUGGAAGGAAUUUGCUUUCGAUAUGGUCUCUGACAUAGAGACAGCAGAGGACAGGACGUCCAGAUUGAUGAUACGCAACAUGUACUUAAACAUUUCCUAUCAAUUAUAUUAUUACGUUGUCUAUCAGUAAGUCAACAAUUGCCAAUUAUUGAAUACCUUUGAGAUAUUGAAACUGUAUCUCCAAGAAGAUUGAGAUUUUCAUUUUCAUUCUAGUUUGUGCAACUCAUAUGCACUUAUGUCACAAGCUCUAGUGGAUGUACUCUAGUGAAGCCUCUCGGUCUCUUGACUAAUAAUGACUGCUGUGAAACUUGAUGAUUAUACAAGUUCACGGUCUCUCUCCACUGAAAAUCUUUUCUUCAUUCUUUCCUCUUCAGAAUUUGGAUUCAACUUCUCAACAAAGUCACAUCAUAAUAGUAAAUAUUACUAUUCA